GGUCCCAUCGUCUAGUGGCCUAGGACGCCGGCCUCUCACGCCGGAAACACGGGUUCGAGUCCCGUUGGGACCACCA
rnacentral:tRNA from 1 species